rnacentral:rRNA from 1 species
UUNUNCANNUACCGCAUAUGCUCUGANGAGGAAAGUGGGGGACUCGCNAGAGCCUCNGGCUCUGGGGGCGGCCGAUGUCCGAUUNGCUUGUUGGUGGGGUAAUGGCCUACCUGGGCGACNAUCGGUAGCUGGUCUGAGAGGAUGAUCNCCCACNCUGGGACUGAGACACGGCCCANACUCCUACGGGAGGCANANGUGGGGAAUUUUGGACAAUGGGGGCAACCCUGAUCCAGCCAUGCCGCGUGCGGGAAGAAGGCCUUCGGGUUGUAAACCGCUUUUGGCCGGGAAGAAAAGGUUAUCCCUAACAGGGAUGACUCUUGACGGUACCGGCAGAAUAAGCACCGGCUAACUACGUGCCAGCAGCCGCGGUAAUACGAAGGGGGCUAGCGUUGCUCGGAAUGACUGGGCGUAAAGGGCGCGUAGGCGGCGGCCAAAGUCAGGCGUGAAAUUCCUGGGCUCAACCUGGGGGCUGCGUUUGAUACUUGGUUGCUUGAGUGGGGAAGAGGGUCGUGGAAUUCCCAGUGUAGAGGUGAAAUUCGUAGAUAUUGGGAAGAAUACCGAUGGCGANGNAGCCCCCUGGGCCAAUACUGACGCUCAUGCGCGAAAG